rnacentral:lncRNA from 1 species
GCCGCCACAGGCGGAGCCGCGCACGCGUGUCACAGCGGGACUACCUUGAAGAUCCACCCUGACCAUGCUGAGAUUUGGGCAGCACCUGAUCAAGCCCUCGGUGGUGUUCCUGAGGACAGAGCUGUGCUUUGCUCUGGUGAACCGCAGGCCGGUGGUGCCAGGCCGUAUCCUUUCCAUGGUGCUGCUCCCUAGGAAAGGCAGCACACUAUCAGGACACUUGGAAAGCCAGUUCCAACUUUCAGCCGGAAAAACACUCAUGGCUACUGUUCCUCUUGUGGAGUCGUGAACUGAUUUGUG